rnacentral:rRNA from 1 species
UACGUGAGGUGCAAGCGUUAAUCGGAAUUACUGGGCGUAAAGCGUGCGCAGGCGGUUUUGUAAGACUGACGUGAAAUCCCCGGGCUCAACCUGGGAAUGGCGUUGGUGACUGCAAGGCUAGGAGUUUGGCAGAGGGGGGUAGAAUUCCACGGUGUAGCAGUGAAAUGCGUAGAUAUGAUGGAGGAACACCGAUGGCGAAGGCAGCCCCCUGGGUCAAAACUGACGCUCAUGCACGAAAGGCGUGGGGAGCAAACAGG